rnacentral:rRNA from 1 species
CCGCGAUACUUGGUGUGAAUUGCAGAAUCCCGUGAACCAUCGAGUUUUUGAACGCAAGUUGCGCCCGAAGCCAUUAGGCUGAGGGCACGUCUGCCUGGGCG